UUUAGUCGACAGCAAAUGGCAAACUGGACGUACCUGAGAUGGAUAAAAGCGGGUGACUUUUACUGCUGAAUUAAUAUAUUUAUUGUUAACUGUUUUUUUUUAGUUCCCCUUUUAACUGUUAGCUCUAAGACAAGCGAGCGCAUUGCUAAUGCACUUUGGGAUAAUUGUAACAAACUGUGUUCAGACAGCCACAUUCAAGCGACGUGAGUUUUCACCUUCACAAGUAACUGAUCAUCCCAUCUACCAACCAAGCUUCUACUCUGACUACCGGAUAAAACCUCUGCCCCAGCUCUGAACCAAGCUAAUACAAAAACUCCGAAAGUUGCUCGACCCGAACGAACACUUAUAACCGUCACACCUGUCAAGCUGACAUUGGAAGCAGAGCAAAAGAUGAAUCUUGAGAAGUUGUUUUUGACCAAAGGAGCUGCAUUCCAGUUUCCGAAUAUCCAGACUGUCUGGGCAGAACAUCAGCAACUGGAGAGGGGUCGCUUGCAACUUGUUAAUGGUGACGGUGGUGCUGGUCAGUGUCAUGGUACGAGAAUCCUGCAACGUGAUGUUGACGCAGUAGG